GGCUCAGAUUGAACGCUGGCGGCAUGCCUUACACAUGCAAGUCGAACGGUAACAGGCCGCAAGGUGCUGACGAGUGGCGAACGGGUGAGUAAUACAUCGGAACGUGCCCGAGAGUGGGGGAUAACGGAGCGAAAGCUUUGCUAAUACCGCAUACGAUCUACGGAUGAAAGCAGGGGACCGCAAGGCCUUGCGCUCAUGGAGCGGCCGAUGGCAGAUUAGGUAGUUGGUGGGGUAAAGGCUCACCAAGCCAACGAUCUGUAGCUGGUCUGAGAGGACGACCAGCCACACUGGAACUGAGACACGGUCCAGACUCCUACGGGAGGCAGCAGUGGGGAAUUUUGGACAAUGGACGCAAGUCUGAUCCAGCCAUUCCGCGUGCAGGAUGAAGGCCCUCGGGUUGUAAACUGCUUUUGUACGGAACGAAAAGGUUUCUAUUAAUACUAGGAGCUCAUGACGGUACCGUAAGAAUAAGCACCGGCUAACUACGUG
rnacentral:rRNA from 1 species